GGGAUAGGUGUCCCUCAUCAUUAUAUCUCCUCCUGAUCCAAUAAAGAUUAGCCUAUGCAUGAGUUUUUUCUAGGUAUUUCAGUCAGGUUUCUAGGUUGUCAGUCCUUAUAAUCACUUCCAAAUCUUUUUAAAGUCCUGUUUUUUUUGUUUUUUUUUUUUUCUUUCUGCUGCUGUGAGUUCUACCUCACAGGCUUCUGGUUCCACCACUCUUUUCUGAACUUUCUGUCCCUCUCCCUAGUACCUCUGAUUGUAUUAGAGACAGGGCUGCACAUUUGGUUACGGCAUUAUAACAUCUGCAGCCUUUAUCGCCCCAUUCUUAUCUCUGUGGCAUAUCCUGUCUUUUAUUGACUGCAGUCAGCAGAGCCUUAAUGGAGCUACAGCGAGAACCUGGCCUCUUUGCUGGGCUGAUAAGGUUAAUUGAGAAUGCUUUAAUGUCUGGGUAGUUCAUGCUUUUCAACAGCCAUGAUUUUACAUUGCUUAACACCGUAAUUCACUUGCCAUCAUUCAUCUGAGUAACUGAGGUCAGAAUUCCUCCUCAGCCCUUUGGUUCCCCCAAGUCACUCACCUCAUCUUUUUCCCAGUGAUCACUCUUUCCAAGUAUAUGUAUAUAUAAUAAACAUUGCAUUAACAAUGUAUUAACAAAUACUAAACAAACUGAUAUAUCAUAACCUAAUCUUAACCACUGCUUUCGUGAUGGCUUCUCCACCUGCUCCUCUCCCUGAAAACAGGUCAUGGGAGGCUGGCUACAAGAGACUGCAAAGCAGCAGCUUUGACGAGGACAACACAAAGCCUCCAGCCCUUAGAAGCCACCUCUAAGAAAUGCAGCCAGUGAUGAGCAACACAAGCUACAAAGUUCACUUCAAUGAAUACAGAAUAUUUUUACAAAACUGGGCCCAUGUGAACCGCAUGAAGUUCAACAAGUCCAAGAGCAAGGUGCUGCACUUGGGAUGGGGCAAGUCCAGAUGUGAGCACAGACUGGGAGAAGAACUCACUGAGAGCAGCCCUGCAGAGAAGGACUUGGGGGUUCUGGUGGACAAAAAGCUCGACAUGAGCCAGCAGUGUGUGCCUGCAGCCCAGAAGGCCAACUGCAUCCAGGGCUGAAUCAACAGAGGGUGGCCAGCAGGGAGGUGAUUGUGACCCUCUGCUCUGCCCUUGUGAGGCCCUACCUGGA
rnacentral:lncRNA from 1 species